CCAAUAGCGUAUAUUAAAGUUGUUGCAGUUAAAAAGCUCGUAGUUGAACCUCGGGGUCUACCCAUUGGUCAGGCUUAAUUGUCUGCACUGGUGAGAUGGAUCUCUACCUUCUGAGGAACUUUCAUGCCAUUUAUUUGGUGUGAUGGGAAAUCAGGACUGUUACUUUGAAAAAAUUAGAGUGUUUAAAGCAGACUAUCGUCUGAAUACAUUAGCAUGGAAU
rnacentral:rRNA from 1 species